UGGCGAGAGAGUCUGGCUAGCUCAGGCUGCUAGCUCAGUGCACUGCUUGGGUUGGCUGGCGGCUCUUUAGGGGGAAGCCUGCUCCAUUGCUCCAGCAUGGCAGAUCUCAGUGAACAGAGAUGGUCCAUGGUUUUACUGUGUUUAUUGUAGAAAGGCAGAGAGGGAGAAGAGUAGGGAAGUAGAAGCCAUGGCCACUGGAGAGAGGGGAGAGGAGAGGAGGAGAAGGAGGCUAAAGGUGACAGUGAGAGCAAGAGCUUAAGGGAGAGAGGAGGGGCCAAGCAUCAGCUUUUAUAGUGGGCUGGGCUACCUUGCUGUUGCAGGGUAACUGUGGGAAGGAGCAUACCUGGCUAUAGCCUAAGUGACUGAUAGCCACAGAAUGAUGGAGCUGGGUCCUCAUGUCAGGAGCCUAUGUCUGGGAGCAUGGCAAAUGGGCCUUCUGUCCCUUGCAGAUUAAUCUGUUGGGUUUCUGGGAUUUGAACCUAACUCGACCAGAAAACAGGUUGCCUUUCAUGGUCCCACAAGGCACCUUUCUUUCCAAAGUCCUUAGAUUUGAGGAUGUAACUCUGCCUGUUAGGACAUUUCUAAUAGGAGUUAUUGGCUUACCUCUUAAUUUUAAUGCCACAGUGAGUCUGUCCAGUGAGUGCAGGCUGAUACAGUUAUAAUAAACCCAUAGUAAUUUUUAGCACACCCUUCUCCAGUACAGAACUCUAGUUCUUCCAAAACUUAGGGCCUGUUGACCUGUUGUGGGUGUUGGUCUUUAAUUUACAUGGUUACUCCCAGAAGGAGGAGACACACCGGAGUAUUGCUAAUUUUGGAUAAAGAGAACACUAGAAAAUACGUAAUAGGGCUGUGUUCACUGUACCUGACCUGUGGUUCCUGAUAUUACUGGAGGAUCUCAUUAGGGUCUUCUGGGACCCUGUAUCACUUUUGUUGAUAAAGUUUUAGCAAAACCCAGCAGCUCACUUUGGUAAUCAUCACUGAGUGUUGGCUGCAUCACUGAAUUCAGUUGGCUCUUUACAGGCGUGGCUUCCAGUCUGGUGGUCGGAUGUUCCUAUGAUUAUGGAUUAUCACUUUAAUUUUUUUGAUAUUUGUAAAAAAAUCAAUGCCAGUUAGUUUGUAUGGAAAAGGUUAAAUCCAGUGUUAGGUCAGCUUUUCAAAAUCAGAGCCUUGGGUUGUGUGUGUAUGUGAAGAACUACUGGCCUAGUUUGCUUUGUUUUGGGGUUUUCUGUGUAUUGGGAUAUUGAUUGAUUCAUUUGGGGAAAUGUUAUUUUCUAAACAAAGUGUCGAUAGGCUUAGGGGUAGCUUGAUUUUUACACACAGCCAGUUUUGUUUGAUUUCUCAGCAAGCUGUGAGUUUGUUCAGAGUUGUGUGCAGUGACAUCUUUGAUCACUUCUCCUGGGGGAGAAGAGUUGCAGGAUACAUGUUUGACAAACAGACCCCACUGCAGCGGUGGUGAUGUGACCAAAAAGUUCAAAGUGAGUUUCAGCAGGAGUAACAGUGGCUUCCAGACCCACGGUAGAGGUAGCAGAGGCUGCUUCUACUACUGUUGCAGCAGCUUGCAAAGUGUGUAGGGCCACCCACACUUCCUUCCUCUUCUUCAGCCACACCUCUAUGCUUAGUCGCUUCUGCCUGCUUGAACUGAGAGAACAUUAGUAUAUUCUUAUAACACCUACCACUACUCGUUUCUUGAACUGCCGUUUCCAUGUACCAAACACUGUUGGCCUAGUUAGUCUGCUUCACUUCAAGUCUAGCCUAGGUAUUAAACUGCUAAGUCUGUGCCAUGCAAGAAGGCUGCUUUAAAGUGGCUGGUCUUAGUGAUGCUUGCUGUUCAGAAAGAUGCCAGCUCAGUAAUGCAGUUGUUUAAAAUGUUUGUUCUACAAAGACAGGAAAAAGUAGUCAUUGUACUUAAGGUAUCUGCUUUUUAACGGUGAAUGUCAGGUUUGGAACCAUCCUCCAAGAUUGCAGGUGAGUGUUUACUAGUCCAGGUUUGCAUUUUCCAAACUUGAUGAAGUAAAUUAUUAGUGUAUUUAAUUUGUUGUGUGUUUCUGCCAGUUUAUUUUAAAAUUUGUACCUGGCUGUGUCCCCAGAGGACAGCGUCAAAGCUCUCUGUUUGGUUUAUUACCAGAGGGGAGAUACAGAUGACUUUUCUCUUACUAUGUCCCCACUCUUUUUGCCAACAUGUUCUGAUUAAACUUUUUCUGAAACUAAACAUGUUUUUUCACAGUUGAAAUUCUAAUUAUGGACAAAGGCAGGUGCUACAGACCAGGGGUUGAGUGGUGAACAGAGCUGGAUAAAGUUGAGACCACCGUAGGUAGCUAAGAGUGCGGAUGUCCUCCCAGCACCGUGGCCACUCCUUUACUCUCGAGGUUAAAGUUUUCCAUUCUAUACGUUCAGAUUUGCUAUGAGUAUAUUACUUAAGAUGGCGUGAUGAUGUAGUCUUGUAAUCUUGGCAUGUGGGAGACUGAGGCAGGAAGAUCUGGAGUGGAGGCCAGCCUGGGCUACAUAGUGAUACUAAGUCAAACAUUGCAGCAGGGAAGCAAGUACUUACAUUUCUUUAAAAGGCAUUUUAUUGAAAAUCAGAUUUUAGCCAAGGAGUGGUGGUACACACGUUUAAUCCCAGCACUCAGGAGGCAGAUAGACCUCUAAGUUUAAGGCCAGUCUACAGAGCAGGACUACAUAGUGAGACCCCCAUCUCAAAAACAAAGAAACAACAACAGCAAC
rnacentral:lncRNA from 1 species